rnacentral:hammerhead_ribozyme from 1 species
AUCCAACUAACGAGUCCCAAAUAGGACGAUGUGCGCGUCCUGAAU